rnacentral:rRNA from 1 species
CAAGUCGACGCUUCUUUUCCCACCGGAGCUUGCUCCACCGGGAAAAGAGGAGUGGCGAACGGGUGAGUAACACGUGGGUAACCUGCCCAUCAGAAGGGGAUAACACUUGGAAACAGGUGCUAAUACCGUAUAACAAUCGAAACCGCAUGGUUUCGUUUUGAAAGGCGCUUUACGGUGCCGCUGAUGGAUGGACCCGCGGUGCAUUAGCUAGUUGGUGAGGUAACGGCUCACCAAGGCCACGAUGCAUAGCCGACCUGAGAGGGUGAUCGGCCACAUUGGGACUGAGACACGGCCCAAACUCCUACGGGAGGCAGCAGUAGGGAAUCUUCGGCAAUGGACGAAAGUCUGACCGAGCAACGCCGCGUGAGUGAAGAAGGUUUUCGGAUCGUAAAACUCUGUUGUUAGAGAAGAACAAGGGUGAGAGUAACUGUUCACCCCUUGACGGUAUCUAACCAGAAAGCCACGGCUAACUACGUGCCAGCAGCCGCGGUAAUACGUAGGUGGCAAGCGUUGUCCGGAUUUAUUGGGCGUAAAGCGAGCGCAGGCGGUUUCUUAAGUCUGAUGUGAAAGCCCCCGGCUCAACCGGGGAGGGUCAUUGGAAACUGGGAGACUUGAGUGCAGAAGAGGAGAGUGGAAUUCCAUGUGUAGCGGUGAAAUGCGUAGAUAUAUGGAGGAACA